rnacentral:rRNA from 1 species
AUUGAACGCUGGCGACAGGCCUAACACAUGCAAGUCGAACGAGUGGCGGACGGGUGAGUAAUGUCUGGGAAACUGCCUGAUGGAGGGGGAUAACUACUAGAAACGGUAGCUAAUACCGCAUACCAUCGGAUGUGCCCAGAUGGGAUUAGCUAGUAGGUGGGGUAAAGGCUCACCUAGGAGACGAUCCCUAGCUGGUCUGCGAGGAUGACCAGCCACACUGGAACUGAGACACGGUCCAGACUCCUACGGGAGGCAGCAGUGGGGAAUAUUGCACAAGGGGAGCAAGCCUGAUGCAGCCACGCCGCGUGUAUGAAGAAGGCCGUCGGGUUGUAAAGUACUUUCAGCGGGGAGGCGUUACCCGCAGAUGAAGCCCCGGCUAACUCCGUGCCAGCAGCCGCGGUAAUUC